CAGUUUCAGCCCUGAAGAAUGUGAGGUUCAGAAAGAAUAUGUUAAACCACUUGACAGCAAUGACGGAUAGAGAAAAGAUUACAGGUUUUUACAUAUGCCGGAGUUGAGGUAUAUGUCCUUUUUUUCUAAUUUCUUUUCUUUCAGUUAUGUUGACAGGAUAGUAAAUAUUAUCACAAGUUUAUAUAUACCAUUUUUUAUGAAAUAGGAACAUUUACAUGACCUAGAGUUUCAGUAAUUUCAACAUGAUGAUAUAUGUUAUGUUAAUGUAUGUGCUUCAUGUUCUAUACAUUAUUUGUUUAUACUUGCAUUUUAUGUUGUUUAGGUACUUGUUUAAUUCUAUUACUAAAGAUCAGAGUAUAAAGUAUUGAUGUUGAAAUGUAAGUUGUUAUUUCAUUUGAAGUAAAGUUCAGCAAUUAGCUUUGAAACUUGGGCAAUGAAGAAGAUGAGGUUCAGGAGGAAUGUGUUACACCACUUGUCAGCAAUGAUGGAUAGAGUAAAAGAGUAAAAAUUACAGGUUUUUACAAAUGCUGAAGUUUUGGUAUGUAUACGUCUUUUUUUUAUAUUUCACUUCCUUUAGUUAUGUUGUAAUAUAAAUGACCUAUUGUGCUGUUGAUAACCUAUAUUCUUGGACAUUUAUGUUAUUUUAUAUGUUUUUUUGUUUUUAUUUUUCUGUUUGUUUAUAACCUUCACUUGGGGCACAACAAGCUCAAUGUUCACAUGUACAAGAAAUACAGACUGGCACCAUCACCGACCUGUCCUUGUGGUGAGCAAGAUCAGACUACUGAGCAGUUACUCCAGAAAUGUAAAAGGCAUGACCAGGAGCGAACUGCGACUUGGCCGAUAGAUACCUCAAUCCUCCAGAAAUUGUAUGAAGGCAUUGAACAUCUGUGGCAAACCACAAGUUUCAUCGAGGAUGCUGGUCUGAUAGUGUAGGGCAAACGAAGAAGUUUAUAAACCAACUGAUUUUGUAAACUUGACCAUCAGCUGUGGAAGUUUUGUUUCGGCAGUGAAGAACAUGAGGUUCAGUACUGAUGGAUUACACCAAUUGUUAGGAAUCGUGGAGAGAGCAAUGCUUAUAUAAAAGUUGAGGAGUAAAUGUCAAGUGGAAGCUGUAGAACUGUAACCUGGUUCUGAAGAGGUUAGAAAAAAAUGGUAUUGUUCACCUGUUAGCAGUUGAGGACAGAGCAAAGAUAACAAGUUCUACAAAGACUGAAGUUCAGUGUUUGAGGGAAAUGUGGACAAGAAGGGAUGAUGAUUCACAUUGUUCCUUUAAAGAUACAGGAGAGUAGAAUGGACAAAAUGGAUGACAUGCUGGUCAGAAUGAGGUUGACAGAUGAA